UGUAAUCCCAGCACUUUGGGAGGCUGAGGCGGGCAGAUCAUGAGUAGAAACCCUGUCUCUACUGAAAAUACAAAAAAAUUAGCUGGGUGUGGUGGUGGGUGCCUGUAGUCUCAGCUACUCAGGAGGCUGAGGCAGGAGAAUGGCGUGAACCCAGGAGGUGGAGCUUGCAGUGAGCCGAGAUCGCACCACUGCACUCCAGCCUGGGCAACACAGUGAGAUUCCAUCUGAAAAAAAAGAAAUAAAGCUUAAACUUGAAGGAUUUCUAUUCCCUUUUAUUCCUCCCAAAUUGGGAAGAGUAUGUAAUUAUCAACAUUAAUAGUGAGAUCCAACAAUGCAGAUAAACCCCAUCUUUCUACAGAAAGAAAACACUUUCUACACGUUAAUGUCAUGUCCAAAAUUGACAGAGACAGGCCUAGAAGUCAGGCCACCAGUUUCCAGGUCCUUCUCCCAUACCCUUCCCUCAUCCACUUGCUUUUUUGAGAUGGAAUCUUGCCCUGUCCCCUAGGCUGGAGUUCAGUGGCACAAUCUCAGCUCACUGCAGCCUCUGCCUCCUGGGUUCAAGCAAAUCUCCUGCCUCAGCCUCCCAAGUAGCUGGGACUAUGGGUGCGCACCACUACACCCGGCUAAUUUUUUAAGCUUUUCUUUAGUAGAGAUGGGAUUUUGCCAUGUUGGCCAGUCUGGUCUGGUCUGGAACUCCUGGCCUCAAGUGAUCCGCCCGCCUUGGCCUCCCAAAGUGCUGGCGUUACAGGUGUGAGCCACCGCGCCCAGCCCCCUCAUCCACUUUGCUCCAUCCCUGCUACACAUCCUCCUGGCCUCUGCUGACACUGCCCUCCAGGGCAGGGGAACCACCAUGGCUCAAGGCUGCCUAGACUCUGACACAAACAACUGCCUACCUGGCUCUUGGGCCUAUAGAGACCCCAUUCCUCCUUUCCACACCUUCCCCUAGGGCUCCAUGCUGCUUGUGGAGCCUCACAGCCAGGACCUAUAAUAAUAGCCUGUUUGCAGAGGAGUCAGAUACCUUUCCUAGGCCAGCCCUGACACCAAGAUCCCCACAGAAAAAAGCAUCGUCUCCCCGCAACCUCCUUGCCACUUCCCCUAAUUACGC
rnacentral:lncRNA from 10 species